CCUACGGGGUGCAGCAGUGGGGAAUAUUGGGCAAUGGGCGCAAGCCUGACCCAGCAACGCCGCGUGAAGGAAGAAGGCUUUCGGGUUGUAAACUUCUUUUCUGGGGGACGAACAAAUGACGGUACCCCAGGAAUAAGCCACGGAUACCUCCGUGCCAGCAGCCGCGGUAAUACGUAGGUGGCAAGCGUUAUCCGGAUUGAUGGGGUGUAAAGGGCGUGUAGGCGGGAAUGAAAGUCAGAUGUGAAAACUAUGGGCUCAACCCAUAGCCUGCAUUUGAAAAUGUAUUUCUUGCGUGCUGGAGAGGCAAUCGGAAUUCCGUGUGUAGCGGUGAAAUGCGUAGAUAUACGGAGGAACACCAGUGGCGAAGGCGGAUUGCUGGACAGUAACUGACGCUGAGGCGCGAAAGCGUGGGGAGCAAACAGGAUUAGAUACCCUUGUAGUC
rnacentral:rRNA from 1 species